UACGGAGGGGGCAAGCGUUGUUCGGAUUUACUGGGCGUAAAGGGUGUGUAGGCGGCUGGAUAAGUCUGGUGUGAAAUCUUCACCGCUCAACGGGAAGGGGUCACUGGAAACUGUUCAGCUUGAGUAUGGUAGAGGCAAACGGAAUUCCUGGUGUAGCGGUGGAAUGUGUAGAUAUCAGGAAGAACACCGGUGGCGAAGGCGGUUUGCUGGGCCAUCACUGACGCUGAGACACGAAAGCGUGGGGAGCAAACGGG
rnacentral:rRNA from 1 species